UAGCCUGGGAACCUCCAUAUGCCAUGGGUACAGCCCUAGAAAACACACAAAAAAAUAAAUAAUAAAUAAUUUUGCAAUUAAGUUCAAUUCUUUGUGAUCAGUUUGACUGAAGCAUGUGAUAGACCAAAUCAAACUUGAUUGACUUUAUGCCCUUUGACAACUACCACCUUGGCUUCACCUGUGUAAUGAGGAAUUGUGAGUAGAAGAGAAAAAAAUCCCCCCCGCCCACAGUUCUAAACAAAUGGAGCAGAUAUUGUCCUUAAAGUGAUCCCUUAAAAGUACUUUCGAGUGAGCUCUGUAUAAACUCUCUUCACUGGUAUCAGAAGCUGUGAUCUGUGCCUUUAAAAAGACGGAGGGGCUUGUGCCUCAGUGCUACAAGGAGGGAUGAAACACAGCUGGGACUUGGGGAAGUAGCCAAGCUUCCAGCAGCAUUUUAGAGAGCUUGCCCUCCCUCCUCCUGUGUUAACAAUUUUGCAGCUACCUCCAGCUGAGCACCCUGCUCUCAUAAUUAUCAAUCCUCAAUUUUACCCACGUUGGCUUCUCCUCUCUUCUGCACAACCGGGCACUGAUCCUAGCUGGCUGCCAAACUUCUGCUGUCCUCGCUUGAUAUGGCCAGCUUCCUCCCUUGUGUCAACAAAUAUCAGCAUGUGGAACACAAGUAAGAGCAAACUCUAUUUGACAAGGAAGACCCACUGAAGUUUUUUAAAGAGAUACAUGACAAGUUUAUUUAAAAGACAAUUGAAUAAUUUAAAGCUUUCUGAGGAUUACCAAACAUCUGUGGAAAUGAGAUCAGAACCAAACAACAGACCUUCAUCAAGUCACUUGAAAUUUCAGAUCAUGGGAAUUAAAGAAGAUUCUAUAAGCUUCCAGAGAAGACUAAGCAUGCCUGCUUGAACAGAAGGCUUCCCAAAAGCAACUGUGGCACUGGAAAAAUCUGAAGGCAAAAGUGCAAAACAUCCAGUGAUUGAAGAAAGAUGUCAACCUAAGGUAAACCAAACUCCCCACCACAUAUGUUCUGACAUCAGAGACAAGGCUAAGAGGAUAUGAGUCUAGAAUCCAGAAGCAAUUCAGUCUAUAACUUUGUAACACUAGAUAUACCUAUGCCCUAGAAUAAGUGGCAUCUGCCUCUAAGUCUUCAAGGUGAUGGUCAGUCACAAUCUCUACAUGUGAUCAAUAGAUAGAAAUUAAUACAGUAAGCUGAAGUCUUCAUUGAUGAAACUGAUCUUGAAGUUAUAAAACCUACUUGUCUAGGUUUAUAGACCUGGGGGAUGAAGCAGACAUUCAUCCCAGAGUAGGUUAAGCCCCUGGAGAUCUUGCUAUUAUCAGGCCACUGUUGCUGUAAUUGUCAUUCACCAUUAUCACUGAGCAUGUGAAUGCCAAGAAAUGCCCAUGAUUGACCUACACUUUGCCAGUACCCUAGCUAUCUCAAAUUGCCCAAAGCUUCAUGCUAAUUCACCCCUAGUGAGAGUCCAGUACUAUAUACGUCUUAGCUUUGGUUGUGCCAAAAAGCAAAGCCUCCGUCAAGGAGAUAAUAAUCCCAGAGUAUAAGUGGGGGACCAGAGAAAAUGGGGAAGGGGAAAAUGUCUAUAAAAAUCUGUUUUUUAAAUAUCCCAGCUUUGACAUACUCUGGCUUAAUUUUUGUGUCUGGGAAGCACAGAACAUCUCAGAGCUAGCUGCUAGAACAACUGAGGGAAGAAUUUACCAAUAGGUUUCAUCCCUCAGUGGCUGAGGAUUUCCCUCAGAGUUAACUUUCAUAAAUGUGAGGGCUCCCCUUGUGAACUUAACAAGUAGGGUACCAUUCCUAGUUGUGGCAUUGGAGAAGUCCUAGAGUGAAAAGUGAAAAAUGCAUCAUGUUCGUUUGAGAUGAGGUUCUGUUGAAAGGAGGCAAAUCCAAAUGCCUAUUGCAUCCAGGCUGGAAUCAGAGGUGAGGUUAAGAAGAUGUGAGUUAGGGUCCCAAAUGCUCUGGUACAGCCUUAAGAGCUUCUCAAGGAAUUUGGACUUAAGUUGGUAAAACAUAGCAAAUAUCAAAGCCUUUUAAGCAGAAGAGAAACACAAUUUAGGUUUGUACUGCAGGAAGCUGACACUGGAGAUACUGAGGAGGAUGAAUUAGGCAGAGGAUGGGAUGGUGAAGUACAGGAAACCAUUUUGGAGACUUCACACAUAGCUGAUUGUACCCUAACACAGUGUCAGUGGGGAUGAGAGACAGGAAGAAUGAACGGCUAUUUGAGAUAGUGGAGAAAUUGGAGGAAAAUCUUCAUGUUGAUAACUGGCUCAAAGAUAUUAUCAUAACAAAGUAUCAGUUUUUAGCCAUUACUUACCAGUUAGUAGUUUGUGGAUGGAAUCAAUGUGGCAUCAAACUUAGGCCAAUGAAUGGAUCAGGAGGCUAGUCAUUGUAUGUGCAUGGGGAAAAAAGAAAAAAAUGACUCAUGCUAACUGUGGUAAUAUCCAAGGAGGUAGGGAAAGAAGGAGUUGAUGUAAUUUUUCACUUUUAUUUUUAAAAUUAUUAUCUUUGUGGCAUUUUUAUCUCUCAAAACGAAAUGAUAGUCAAUAUUAGGUUCUAAAAUCAGGGGCAGGGGAAAGGAAGACACCGAAAAGAAAAAGAAAUAGAACCAUUUCCCUAUACACACACGUAUGCCAAAAAAAAAAAAAAAAAAAAAAAAAAAAAAAGAAAAACAGAAAAUCUUUUAUCUUACACCAAGAAAGUUUGAUGUUAUACACUUGAAAAGGGAAGGAGGUUGAAAAAAAAUGACAUAAAAGGAAGAUAAAAAUAACUAAUGACUAGAACUUCUGCAGGAAUGAACCAAAUGUCACUGAAAUAUUGAAAGAGCCUAAAUUUGUCACUUCAUAUGAUGGUGAGAAGGGAAAUGAACAUAUAAAACCCUUUAGUUUCUGGGUUUAUCUGAUGUGAUUUUGUGCUAUCCUGAAUCUCUUUAUUUAUUAUUUGAACACUUAUCAAGCUGUAUACUUACCUUUUUUUUUCUUCUGUAGAAUUUGUGUUCCUCCAAAUACCUGGCACGUCUUUCCUUUUCUUUUCUUUUCUUGCUCAAUGAUAUUUAAUAGCAGCUAUUAUGUACCAUUAUGCUAGUACUGCUGAGACUAUCAUUAGGAUCAUAGACAGGGUACUUGCCCUUCUGAUGAGUAAGGUCUAGGUUUGUGUCUGACUUUAGCAUUUAACAAUAUAACUUCAAGUAAUUCUUUAUCUUUUUGAGCCUCAACCUUCUCAUUGUUAAAGGGAGAGAGGACUAUUAUACAUACAGGAUUGUGCUGAGAUAGAUAGAUAUUAUUUACCUACUCUUUAACUCAAUAAACACUAAGUUCUCUCUGUGUCUAAUAUGCAUGUGCUUUGUGAAUCAAAAAUAAUGUCAACAGUGUGACAUAUGUGUGCAUGAACUGAGCUGGCAUUUUUUGUUUAUUGGCUUGUUUAUUUUGUUUAAUAAGUUUUUCAGCCAUUGUAUUCUAUAAAGUCAAGCAUCAAAAUAUCAUUUUCUACUUGAAGCGUAGUAACUACCUUAAUGUCUAAAUUCAGUGAGUUGUUUGUGAAUCUGAUGAAGACCAUUUACUUCUAAAUGGUCAAAUAGACACUCAGCCAACAAAGUUAGAAACCAAAUUGAAGCAAGAAAAACAAUGAGUAAUGAGAACAUAGUGAAAAGCAGAACAUUUGGGGGGAUGAUUUUGACAUGUGCUCUGUCAGAAUCUCAUACACUUACUUUUCUCUCCUAUUAUUUUUAAUGUGAGAACUAUCUCAAGAAAGCCAGAUACUUCCUUGAUAGUGUAACUGUUGAUUCGAGUUCUGUGGAGCAUUUCAUAAGAUGACAGCAUGAGAUGUCUGUGAUAUUUAUGUUUUGAUAUUUGUAUUACCUGAUUUUUGAGACUGAAUCCCACACAUAUCUUUACAUCACAUUAUGUAAUUUAAGCAAUAGCCAUGGCAGAAGGUUAGUGGUACAGAAGUUAUACUCAUUUUGCUGAGAAUACUAAAUUUAAAAGAAGAGAAAUAUUUUAAAGCCCAUGACUUCCAUCCAACUUUACUUCUUUACAUGUAUUGGUAGGAUUUAUCAUUCAUAAACAUUUUUCCUACCAUUUGUUAUCUGAAAUCUAAUAUUGGGUUUUCUGCUUUAUUAAGUCUUUAUUAUAAAUAUAACCACAUGCAUAUUUUAUGACCUCAAGAAAUUUGAAAUUCUCUCACAUAUACCACCUGUUCUUUUUAUUACCAUGUCAAUUUCAUGACUGACAACCAAGAACAGGAAGUAAAUAUGGAUAGAAUAUGCAAUAGAAUAAGAGUUAAAAAUCAAUGGACAGACAAAAUAACUUUUGAAUGAGUGGAGUCUCUAGGACUCGAAGUGAAAGGUAUCCCACAAAAACACUCUAGUUAUUAAGGUUUUUUUCCAUAGGGAUACUGAAUUAACAAUCUGAUACUGCUCUACUUGUAUGGUGGAAUUGGCAGAUGGUAGGAGCAAGGUUUCUCACUGUUGGAGUGGCAACAUACAGAUUAGGAAGAGGAAGCUAGAACUGUACAUGGGAUAAUGGAUUAGAGUUGGUAACAUAAACAUGAACUCAUGUUUAGGUUACUUUUGAUACCAGUGAUUACAUAUAGAAAUACUUAUAUAUGUGUAUAUUUGCCACUUAUUAGACACCCAUACUUUACCUCGCUCUGUCAGUUGAGAAAUUCUAAAAGCAACUGCACCUAGUAGCAAUAAGUAUGCCUAGUGGCCAGAUCUUGGUUUCUGAGUAAAGGAAACUAACUACAGGAAUCAGGGCUCCUUGGAAAGAUGGCUGAUUCUGGUACCAAGGAACAAAACAUGCAAGAUAAUCUUGGAGCUUCUCAUAGUAUCAGGAACUAAGACAGUUAUUAAAAAAAAAAAAAAACAACCCUAUAUUGAUAGAGGUCAAAGACAUACAA